UGAGGAAUAUUGGGCAAUGCCCGCAAGGGUGACCCAGCAACGCCGCGUGGAGGAUGAAUGUCGUAAGAUUGUAAACUCCUGUUAGAGGGGAAGAAUAGUACCGGUUGGACCGGUAUAUGACUGUACCCUCAGAGAAAGCCCCGGCUAACUACGUGCCAGCAGCCGCGGUAAUACGUAGGGGGCAAGCGUUGUCCGGAUUUACUGGGUGUAAAGGGCGCGCAGGCGGGAUAAAAAGUCAGUGGUGAAAUCCUACAGCUUAACUGUAGAACUGCCUUUGAUACUUUUAUUCUUGAGUUCGGGAGAGAGAGACGGAGUUCCAGGUGUAGUGGUGAAAUACGUAGAUAUCUGGAAGAACACCAGUUGCGAAGGCGGUCUCUUGGUCCGACACUGACGCUGAGGCGCGAAAGCGUGGGGAGCAAACA
rnacentral:rRNA from 1 species